rnacentral:tRNA from 1 species
CAAAAGUUAGUUUAUUAAAACCCUAGGUUUGGAGCCUAAAGAUGAAUUUUUCAGUCACUUUUGA